AGAACGAACGCUGGCGGCGUGGAUAAGACAUGCAAGUCGAACGCGAUUUAUCAGGUUAGCAAUAACUUGGUAAAUUGAGUGGCGAAAGGGUGCGUAACACGUGGGAAUUUACCAAGAAGUGGGGAAUAGCUCGACGAAAGUCGAAUUAAUACCGCAUAUGAUCGCAAGAUCAAAGCCGGGGACCGCAAGGCCUGGCGCUUUUUGAGAAGCCCGCGGCCCAUCAGCUAGUUGGCGGGUAACGGCCCACCAAGGCUAUGACGGGUAGCUGGUCUGAGAGGACGACCAGCCACACUGGAACUGAGACACGGUCCAGACACCUACGGGUGGCAGCAGUCGAGAAUUUUUCACAAUGGACGAAAGUCUGAUGGAGCGACGCCGCGUGGAGGAUGAAGGUUUCGGAUUGUAAACUCCUGUCACUGCAGAACAAGGAUAUGCCAGUUACAGCCGUGUA
rnacentral:rRNA from 1 species